rnacentral:rRNA from 1 species
UACGUAGGGUCCGAGCGUUGUCCGGAAUUACUGGGCGUAAAGAGCUCGUAGGUGGUUUGUCGCGUUGUUCGUGAAAACUCACAGCUUAACUGUGGGCGUGCGGGCGAUACGGGCAGACUUGAGUACUGCAGGGGAGACUGGAAUUCCUGGUGUAGCGGUGGAAUGCGCAGAUAUCAGGAGGAACACCGGUGGCGAAGGCGGGUCUCUGGGCAUUAACUGACGCUGAGGAGCGAAAGCGUGGGGAGCGAACAGG